GCCAGGGCUGCCCUGUCCCUGGCUGGGCUGGGAGACGGGCAGGCCUUCCUAGGAGCACCUGGGCAGCUGGCGUAGCUACCCCACGUGGAUCUUCUCUCUCCAGCACCCACAGCCCUUGCUCUGGCUGUGACCUCUCACCCGCUGGGCAUGCCUGGGGGCAUGUGUGAGGAGGGGUGGCGGCAAAUCGCAUCUGCCCCUCCUGCCAGCGCUGCACCCCAGGUCUCCGUGCUGGUCGGGGUGCGGCUCAGUCAGCCUCCCCUCCCAGGGCUGGGAAGCAGAGUCGAGUCCUGCGUCUCGCUGGCUUCACACGAUUAACUUUCCAGUCGCUGUUUGACUCCAGCCUGGGGGCCUGAGGGUGCAGGGGAUCCCAUUUCCCAUGGCUGUGAGAGCUGGUUGUGGCAGAUGCAUUGAUGAGGAGUGGGAGCAGGUCAGUUCUGCCCCUGCUGUGGGGACCCAGAAGUGAGCAGUGUUCUGGGGAGCAGGGGGUGCUCCUCAGGAGGAGAGCCUGACUGGUGGGGUUUGUGUCAGGGAAGUGUGGGGAUGAGUUAGGGCACGGCCAGGGGAGAGGCCGUACCCCUGGAUCGAGGUCAGCCCUGCCCCACGGUCUUCUGGGCUCUUGGCCCCAUGCUCCUGCCUCUGGAGCCCCCCGUCUCCUUCCUGGCCCUUCAGGGCUCAGUGGGCCUGCCUUCCCAGCACCCCCCCAUCAUUCACCCCUCAGGUCUCUGCAUCGAGCAUUGAGCUGUCUGGUUUGCAGGCCUACUGUCUGUCCUCCUGCUAGACCCAUGCCUCGAUCAUGAAUGGCACAGUGACAUCUCCACUGUAUACCAGCCCGGGGAUUCCCUGGUGGUUGUCCUAGGGGCUGUCCAAAGCAGAUUGCCUGAGGGGUUGCUGUAGGGGAGGCCCCCUCCACAGGCCUGGGACCCCUUCCCUGACCCAGUGUCCCUUCCAGGUGCCUCCCAAGCCUGUACUCUGGGCGCUCCUGCUGGCUCUGCUGGGUCUUGUGCCUGGCCAGGCAGGGCUCCGUGCCUGCAGCGUCCGCUCCGCCACUACCGUGCGGUCAUCUUUGAGGACCUGCAGGCCGCUGUGAGGCAGGGUGGGCCAGGGGCAGAGUGGACGGGGCCGGGCUCCCCAGACCUCCAUUUCACUCAGAAAAACCUGACUGGAGCUGCAGCCCCCGGAUGGCAGGGUCGGGUGGGAGCUUCCUGCAGUGCCCAGAAGGAGCACAGUAUCCUCCUGUCCAUUGCGUCCCUGGGUCGGACCAUGCGCAUGGUAGUGGCUCGGGGCCGCCGUGGGGCGCUGGAGAAAGCUGCGUGGACCGUAGCCUUGCGCACCGAAGCGGUGAUGCGGCGCCAUUGCUGG
ensembl:lncRNA